UUACUUUUAUUUUCUAUGAAACAAGGGGAAGUUGGUGCAGCCACAGAAUCUCACAACAAAGAAAACGUCUUAGAGCCUCUGUACAGUUUGGAUCAGCUGUUUCUUCUUUACAGGACUUUAGGACUUUGCUCCACCGGUGUUGCCUCGCUGUUUUAACAAAACCUUUUCAAGGAGGACAAUCUCCCAAUGGUGCCAGGAGCGGCUCAGCGGCGCGGUGACCCUCCGAGUCGACCCGUGCGGACCCUCAGGGUUAAGAUGGUUCUUCUGGGAAGCUCUGCCGUGGGGAAGUCGAGCCUGGCACUGCGAUUCAGCAAGGAUGAGUUCAGGAGCACAUCGCCUACUGUGGGCUGCGCCUACCUGACCCGAGUGGUGCAUCUGAGUGAUGUCACUCUGCGCUUUGAGAUAUGGGACACGGCAGGCCAGGAGAGAUACCACAGCGUCACCCCGCUUUACUACAGAGGCGCCCACGCCGCACUCCUGGUCUACGAUAUCAGCAACAGGGAGUCGUUCAUCAGAGCUCAGGUGUGGCUCAAAGAGCUUGAGAAGCAGCACAUCCCGGGGUCUACCGUCGUGUGGCUGGUGGGCAACAAGGGGGAUCUGGCUCAGGAUAGGCGAGUCUCAGUGCAGGAAGGACAGGUUCUGGCCACUGAAAGGGGUUUGUCCUUCACAGAGACAUCAGCCAUGUCGGGGGACCAAGUCGUCGAGCUGCUGCUAGCUAUAGCCCACAGGGUGUACGAGGGUGUCGGAGCGCAGCAGGAAGUCCUGUCAGAGUGGCGGGAGACUCCACUCGUGGACCUGUGUCGCACGCACACAUUCACCCCCGCUGCAUCCUGCUGCAGAGUGGGGCCCUGACCUCUGUGGCCGCCAGCCCCACCGCUGCCUGUCUCCUUUCUCUGUUUGUCGUCAGCAGUUCAGAACCACAGCAGGUGAUUUGCUGAGGAUCUCUUACCUCUGAUGAUGAUGGAACCUCCCCGAUGAGCGCCACUCAGAGCUGGACUCAGCACCAGCAGGACAGCGUAGAGCACCGCACACACCCUCAUCGCAGCUCGACCCGCAGAAAACAAUCAGAGAAAUGAAAAAGUGGACAACAAAACACACAAAAUCAGUCACAUCUGAAUGAAUCAUUUGAAAAUUGCAGCAAAUAUGACACAAUUUUGCCACAGAAAGUGUUGGCCGAAUCAACAUGCACAACAUUUAGUCUGGAUUUUGGAUCAAUCUUUUAAAGAUCACCUGUCGAUGCUGGGAUGAGAAGACUUACUGUUUGGAUGAUGGUUGAGCAGCAGAACCAAAGUUCACUGGCUUCCUCCCCGACCUCGCAGUGGAAGCCCCCGGAGCUGAGAGCAAACGCUUCUCUUCGUCUACAGGUGAACUGAGAGCACAGUCAAAAUCCCAACGACUGGACAAAAGCAAACAUUGAUUUGAACCGUAAGGGACGAAGAAAGGGUUCGUCUCUGAUUGGUUUCCCACCUGCGGGGAAGGAGGACGACGCACUGGUGAGGUGUUGUUGUCUCUGGGUGUCGGUUUCACUUCAUCAGCUGUUUCAUCAUCUCUUUAUAUUCCAGCUGGGUGGUGGGGGGUUGUUGAUAUGCUGAUGUCACCCACCUCUUGAGAAACAUAUGUACUGUUCUUUUAAUGCACAAGACUUACGCUGCCUCUGAUCAUGAGAAUUCCACUUGGUUGAGGAGCUCGGCUCCCAGUGGACUUUCACACGUAAACCGUCAUCAUGGGAGGAUAUCCUGUGUUUUGGGGGUCGGUGCUGCGGAGUCUUUUCACUGCUGGUACGUUUCUACGGUGGCCCCGGGAGCUCACAGCACUGCAACCUAAGAAAACACAUUUACAUAGACAAGACACAAGCAACUUGAGAAAACACCCUCAACAAUUUCACAACACAUGCGCAGCAUUUAGAAAAAAGGGCCGCAAACACGGCAACACAACACAAAACAAGUGUGCUGCGAAUCGACCACAACGAAACGGAAGUGAUGCACACGUCUGAAUCACGAGAUCACAAUGUUAAAAUGAAUCAAAAAGACUUUUUACUUUUUAUCUCAUUUUCCAACACGACUGACGGAAAGAGAACCUUAGUAGCGAUGUGAGUCAAAAUCCGUGGCAACAAUUUUGCCUGACUUUAAUGUGUCCUCAGGAAACACUCCUGUUUCGUUGUGGUCUAUCUCAGCUUUUUCUUAAUGUGUUGUGUUGCCGUGUUGUCAAAUUGAUUUUCAAUAAUGAUAAAAAAGCUGAAAGUCGAAUGCUCUGAAUGUGGAGAUGUUGCGUUUCUUUGGAACGGCCUUCUGCAGUGAGCACGGACUUUCAUAUUCCAGUGCACACUGACGAAAUACUUCCUGUGGAUUCAAGACAGCAACAGGCCGUCAUGCCAUAACAGGCAAGUGAUUGAGGUCAUGGUGAGGUCAUGUGGAUCUGCCACAGGGACAGGCAGCGGAGGCGAAAGUGACGUGCUGGAGAAAAGUAGGUUUGUUGGUACAAUUGUACGGUCGUAAAAACUACAUUAGUGGUCAAAACGAAAACAACACAGCAAACCUUAGUUUGUAAAAAAAUAAAUACAACUAAUAAGACAAAGGAAUUUAUUGCAUGAUUAUAAUUAGACACAUGACUAAAGGGGUACUGGAGAUAACAAUAAUAAUUAUAAAUUCUCUGAUCUCAAACUGUGCAAAAGAAAAUACGUACAACUGAAUAUUAAAACUACAGGGGUGCCAAGUGGAGCUGCAGCGCCCCCCACUGGCAAGGAGCUGCAACUGCCCAUUAUUAUUUUGUAUAAUAUUUCAUUUCAUUUUAGAACAUCAAGUAUAUAUUUUUGUUGUAGAAUGUGAUGUAGAUAAUGAUAAGCAGGACGACCGAUGAAGAAUAAACCUGGAUUUUGUGUGUGAGCUGUCCACAGCUGAAUAUGACCUGCUGUGACAGCAAGCAAAAUGUUCAAGUUUUCUCUCUGUUGUGUAAAAUAUUGUUGGAAUGUUGCUGCAUGUGUAUGAUGUCAUUACACAGACUUCCUCUCAGCGCCCUGUAUGAAAGCAUCUGCUUUGGUUUUGUGUCUCCUCCUCAUUUAUUCAGUAUUUUCCUUUGAUUUGUCAUCUGACUGAUGAAAAUCACUGGAUCCUCUUCAACACAUAGGCUUAGGAGGAAGAGAGGUCGUCCACAGACCUGAAAUGCCGAUGUGUCCUUGGGCAAAACACCUAACCUUAAAUUCCAGCAGUGUAUGAAUGUGACAGAAAAAGUGCGAUAAAUAGCAGUGCUGUAUGAAUAUGGGUGAACGUAACUCAUCCUGUAAAGCACUUUCAUAAAUAAAUAGAUCUCGUUUCUGUGCAUCCUGUUA